rnacentral:lncRNA from 1 species
CCGAUGUCUUCAUCGCUAAUAUGUAAGGUAGUCUUCAAAGACCACAGGUGCAGCUCAGUCAGGCAGAAAGUCAUCUGAUGGCAGAUGGGAGCCCUGGCACUUUUCAACCCUGACACCGCUGUUUUCGAUACUUCAGGAGCUGUCAGAGGGUCGGUCUCGAUCAAACCACGGGAAGCCUGCGCACGCGCAGCAGCCACGCGGCGCGCGAUGUCCUCCUCCUUCCUUCCUCUCCGGACGGCGCCGACUCCUCCCCUCGCGCGCAUGCGCACGGCUGGC